ACCAGUUGAGCCCUGUUUUAUUUGUCGGAUCAUUAAUGCUAAUCAUUAAUUUCAAAAACUCGAAUUGUUAAAAAUAUAUAAUCAAUUUACUUAAAAUGUAUAGACGCAGCGCCUACGGGUCUCGAUUGUAAUUCAGUCCAACAAGCUUCGCGCCACUCUGAGCAUGAUUCGGCCCAAUCCGGCCUCUCGAAAUUUCGAACGUGAUUCGAUUCAACUUGGUUUUCUACUGCAAGAUAAGAUGCUGGCUCAUUUAAGCCAACACCGUUGACUUGACUUGACCAAAUCAUAGCGAAAAAAAACAUUUAUUAUGCACACAAAUUCCACUAGUUAAUUUUUUAAGACACAAAUGAUUGUUUUAUAUAGUUUCAGAGCAACCAUUCAUCCAUAGGUGAGGAAGAGUACAAAUAAAUUUUUUCGGAGAAAAUAGCUAUUUUGUACUACCGUACGUUAAAUAUAAAAAUAUUUAAAUACUAUUCUCUAUAAGCUUAAGCUUUUCGCUAUUUUGCACUACCGUGCGUUAAAUAGCUAUUUUACACUACCGUUCGUUAAAUAUAAAAAUAUUUAUACACUGUUCUCUAUAUAAGCUUAAGCUUUUAGAGUACAACGAUUAUUUCAUAUUAUUUCACAUAGUAUCAGAGAAUUUAAAGUUUUGUACCAGUUAAUUUUUUAUUUUUCCAGUGGCGAAAAAAGAUACUAAUAGAGCAAGUGGCAAAGGGCUUGGUGGUUGGUACCCGAGACCCAAGUUCGAAUCCUAGUUGAUUCACAUUUCCAGCUAAGUUUAUUUCUAAAUAAAAUAAACGAAGCGGAUAGCGUGCUACCUAUCUUAAAAAAAAAAAAAAAUUACAGAAAUAACUUAUGAAAGUUGAACUUUACAGAAAUAUAUCUGUAAUUUACUAUGUUUGCGGAGACCUGUACGAAAUUAACCCUAAUUAAACGAAGCGGAUAGCGUGCUACCUAUCUCUCAAAAAAAAAAAAAAUUGUAGAAAUAACUUAUGAAAGUUGAACUUUAUAGAAACAUAUCUGUAAUUUACUAUGUUUGCGGAGACCUGUACGAAAUUAACCCUAAUUAAUUGAUGAAAGUG
rnacentral:lncRNA from 1 species